rnacentral:rRNA from 1 species
AGAGGGGUGCAAGCGUUAAUCGGAGUUACUGGGCGUAAAGCGUGCGUAGGCGGAUAUUCAAGUCGAGUGUGAAAUCCCCGGGCUUAACCUGGGAAUUGCGCUCGAUACUGGGCAUCUAGAGUAUGGCAGAGGAAAGUGGAAUUUCCGGUGUAGCGGUGAAAUGCGUAGAUAUCGGAAAGAACACCAGUGGCGAAGGCGACUUUCUGGACCAAUACUGACGCUAAAGUACGAAAGCGUGGGGAGCAAACAGGAUUAGAGACCCUGGUAGUCCACGCCGUAAACGAUGAGAACUGGACGUUAGUUCCGCCAUUGGCGGAAUUAGUGUCGAAGCUAACGCGUUAAGUUCUCCGCCUGGGGAGUACGGCCGCAAGGUUA